AGGGAAGAGAAAGAAAAUUCGAUUCCCUGAGUAGCGGCGAGCGAAACGGGAAGAGCCCAAACCACUGAGCUUGCUCAGUGGGGUUGUAGGACUGAACUUUGGAGUUACCAAAGAAUCAGGUAGUCGAAGUGGCUGGGAAGCCACACCAGAGAUGGUGAUAGUCCAGUAGACGAAACCUGGUUCUCUCCGUUCAGGAUCCUGAGUACGGCGGGACACGUGAAACCCCGUCGGAAUCCGCGAGGACCAUC
rnacentral:rRNA from 1 species